AUUGAACGCUGGCGGCAGGCCUAACACAUGCAAGUCGAGCGGAUGAAGGGAGCUUGCUCCUGGAUUCAGCGGCGGACGGGUGAGUAAUGCCUAGGAAUCUGCCUGGUAAUGGGGGAUAACGUCCGGAAACGGGCGCUAAUACCGCAUACGUCCUGAGGGAGAAAGUGGGGGAUCUUCGGACCUCACGCUAUCAGAUGAGCCUAGGUCGGAUUAGCUAGUUGGUGGGGUAAAGGCCUACCAAGGCGACGAUCCGUAACUGGUCUGAGAGGAUGAUCAGUCACACUGGAACUGAGACACGGUCCAGACUCCUACGGGAGGCAGCAGUGGGGAAUAUUGGACAAUGGGCGAAAGCCUGAUCCAGCCAUGCCGCGUGUGUGAAGAAGGUCUUCGGAUUGUAAAGCACUUUAAGUUGGGAGGAAGGGCAGUAAGUUAAUACCUUGCUGUUUUGACGUUACCAACAGAAUAAGCACCGGCUAACUUCGU
rnacentral:rRNA from 1 species